rnacentral:rRNA from 1 species
UACGAAGGGGGCUAGCGUUGCUCGGAUUUACUGGGCGUAAAGGGCGCGUAGGCGGACAGUUUAGUCAGAGGUGAAAGCCCAGGGCUCAACCUUGGAAUUGCCUUUGAUACUGGCUGUCUUGAGUACGGGAGAGGUGAGUGGAACUCCGGGUGUAGAGGUGAAAUUCGUAGAUAUUCGGAAGAACACCAGUGGCGAAGGCGACUCACUGGCCCGUUACUGACGCUGAGGCGCGAAAGCGUGGGGAGCAAACAGG